GCAGUAUCCAGUGUUGUGAUUGAGGACAGGUGAGCAGAAACCAGCUUCUCAAAUGUUGUCCCAGAUUCCAGCAGUUCUGCAUAUCUCCCUUGCUGUUUAACUUGACCACCUUCCAUCACCUGUUGAAACAAUGAUGAAGCAUUUGAUAGGAGGACCAUUUGUUUUUUAAUUCUUGAGCAAUCAUGUCCAUAAGAUCAACUUACCAAGAUUCUAUCAGUUUCAGUCAGAAAUUCAACUUGGUGCGUCACGAGAACAACAGUCUUCUCUGAAAGUGUUGUCAUUACACAAUCCUGCAAGAACAAUGACAUCAGAAGUUUGUGCGGCAGAAGCUAGCAUGUGUUUAUUUAUACAGAUCAAGUGCACUCUCUUACAUAGAAAAGAACGGCAGCGGUGUGCGCAUCAAUGGCACUGAAAGGGUCAUCUAGGAGGUAGAUAUCUGCAUCACUGUAGACAGCUCUAGCAAGCUGAAUCUUUUGCUUCUGUCCCCCACUCAUGUUGAGCCCUCUCUGACCGAUCUCUGUUAGGUCUCCAUUGUCGAAAUUUGCUAUAUCGUCGUCCAAAGCACAAGAUUUGACUGCCUUUUCAUAGAGUGCCUUGUUGAAAGUCUUUCCAAAGAGUAUAUUAUCGCGAACAGUCCCACUCUGUAUCCAAGAGUUCUGUGAAACAUAUGCCACUGAGCCAAAUACCUCAACCUGCAAAAUACAGUUUGAAAAUGUUUUCAAAUAUAAUAACAUGAUUUAAUCUUCCAUAUGCAUAGAGAGCAUGUCUUUUUCUGUCACUUACUGAUCCUGAUCUUGUAGGUAUCUCCCUAAGUAAUGCAUAAAGGAGUGAAGAUUUCCCAGAGCCAACAGAACCACAAACAGCUAUCUUUUCUCCUUGAUGUACUUUAAGGUUAACAUUCCUUAGUGCCAGAUCGGCUCCACUUGCAUUCCAGCUGAAAUUUCCAUCUUGUACAUGAAUUCUGAUAUCAGAGUUAUCAUGAUGAGGCACCCUCUCCACACCAUCUUCUAUCUCGUCUUCUACGAAAAAAUUCUCGAUACGGUCUAACGACACCUUGUAUUGGAUCAUCAUUGUCAGGAUCUCAGGUAGCAACCUCAAUGGCCCAGCCAUUACCCUCAGGGUGGCCAAGACGGUGAAGAGAGUACUGGCAUUCAGGGGUGCGCUCCCCAAGAUGGCCGUUGCG
rnacentral:lncRNA from 1 species